rnacentral:rRNA from 1 species
CACUCGUACCUUUUGCAUCAUGAUUUAGCUAGUAACCCCAAGCAAAGAGCACUUUAGUUUGACCCCCCGAAACUAAGUGAGCUACUCCAAGACAGCCUAACCAAUAGGGCGAACCCGUCUCUGUGGCAAAAGAGUGGGAAGAGCUUUGAGUAGCGGUGACAGACCUACCGAACUUAGUUAUAGCUGGUUGCCUGGGAACUGGAUAGAAGUUCAGCCUCACAGCUUCUUUUUAAACCAUGAGAGUUAGUCAAAGGGGGUACAGCCCCUUUGACACAAGACACAACUUUCCUAGGAGGGUAAAGAUCAUAAUUAAAAUAAGGGGAAAUAUUCUGGUGGGCCUAAAAGCAGCCACCCCUACAGAAAGCGUUAAAGCUCAGACAUUCGAUCUUGAUAACAUUAUCCCAACCCCCUUUCCCUACCAGGCCAUCCCAUGCGUUCAUGGGAGUGACCAUGCUAAUAUGAGUAAUAAGAGAGGCCUCUCUCCCUGCACGAGUGUACAUCGGAACGGACCCCCCACCGAAUCUUAACGGCCCCAAACGAAGAGGGCACUGAAAUAGUACCAGAAAACCAUUCACCGUUACCCCCACACUGGCGUGCAUUUUAGGGAAAGACUAAAAGAAAGAGAAGGAACUCGGCAAACAAGCCUCGCCUGUUUACCAAAAACAUCGCCUCUUGCAUGAAUAAGAGGUCCCGCCUGCCCUGUGACUAUAUGUUUAACGGCCGCGGUAUUUUGACCGUGCGAAGGUAGCGCAAUCACUUGUCUUUUAAAUAGGGACCUGUAUGAAUGGCAUAACGAGGGCUUAGCUGUCUCCUUUUUCAAGUCAAUGAAAUUGAUCUCCCCGUGCAGAAGCGGGGAUAGGACCAUAAGACGAGAAGACCCUGUGGAGCUUUAGACACCAAGGUAGACCAUGUUAAGCACCCCAAGACAAAGGGCUAAACUAGCUGGGCCCUACCCGCAUGUUUUCGGUUGGGGCGACCAUGGGGUAAAACAAACCCCCCACGCGGAAAGGGAGAACUCCUACAACUCAGAGCUCCCGCUCUAAUAAACAGAACUUCUGACCUAGAGAUCCGGCGAAGCCGAUCAACGGACCAAGUUACCCCAGGGAUAACAGCGCAAUCCUCUUUUAGAGCCCAUAUCGACAAGAGGGUUUACGACCUCGAUGUUGGAUCAGGACAUCCUAAUGGUGCAG